GGGCCCGUAGCUCAGUUGGUUAGAGCACACGCUUGAUAAGCGUGGGGUCGGAAGUUCAAGUCUUCCGGGUUUCG
rnacentral:tRNA from 4 species